AUCUAAACGGGAUAGGAAUGGCAGCCUCCGAUUUUUCAUCGGAGCUAUAAUGGAUAGCCCGACUGACA
rnacentral:sRNA from 1 species